rnacentral:rRNA from 1 species
CAACAGGGAUUGCCCCAGUAACGGCGAGUGAAGCGGNAAAAGCUCAAAUUUGAAAUCUGGCGUCUCUGGCGUCCGAGUUGUAAUUUGGAGAGGAAUCUUCGGGGUCAGCACCAGACUAUGUUCCUUGGAACAGGACGUCACAGAGGGUGAGAAUCCCGUGCAUGCCUGGCUGCCUGGCCCCUUGUGAAGGGCCUUCUACGAGUCGAGUUGUUUGGGAAUGCAGCUCUAAGUGGGUGGUAAAUUUCAUCUAAAGCUAAAUAUUGGCGAGAGACCGAUAGCGCACAAGUAGAGUGAUCGAAAGAUGAAAAGCACUUUGAAAAUAGAGUUAAAAAGUACGUGAAAUUGUUGAAAGGGAAGCGCUUGAGACCAGACACGGCUCCUGGCAAACAGCCUGCCCAGGCCAUGGGCGGUGCACUUGCCUGGGCUGGGCCAGCAUCGGUUGGAGUGGGACAAAGGCAUGGGGAAUGUGGCUCCUCUUGGGGAGUGUUAUAGCCCUUUGUGCAAUGCCGCCAACCCCGACUGAGGGCCGCGCCUCGGCGAGGAUGCUGGCAUAAU